AGAGUUUGAUCCUGGCUCAGAUUGAACGCUGGCGGCAUGCCUUACACAUGCAAGUCGAACGGUAACAGGUCUUCGGAUGCUGACGAGUGGCGAACGGGUGAGUAAUACAUCGGAACGUGCCCGAUCGUGGGGGAUAACGGAGCGAAAGCUUUGCUAAUACCGCAUACGAUCUACGGAUGAAAGCAGGGGACCGCAAGGCCUUGCGCGGACGGAGCGGCCGAUGGCAGAUUAGGUAGUUGGUGGGAUAAAAGCUUACCAAGCCGACGAUCUGUAGCUGGUCUGAGAGGACGACCAGCCACACUGGGACUGAGACACGGCCCAGACUCCUACGGGAGGCAGCAGUGGGGAAUUUUGGACAAUGGGCGAAAGCCUGAUCCAGCCAUGCCGCGUGCAGGAUGAAGGCCUUCGGGUUGUAAACUGCUUUUGUACGGAACGAAAAGACUCCUUCUAAUAAAGGGGGUUCAUGACGGUACCGUAAGAAUAAGCACCGGCUAACUACGUGCCAGCAGCCGCGGUAAUACGUAGGGUGCAAGCGUUAAUCGGAAUUACUGGGCGUAAAGCGUGCGCAGGCGGUUAUAUAAGACAGAUGUGAAAUCCCCGGGCUCAACCUGGGAACUGCAUUUGUGACUGUAUAGCUAGAGUACGGUA
rnacentral:rRNA from 1 species